CUGAGAGGGGGUCCUUUGGGCCCAACCUUCAACCCUAUGUUUUGUUACCUUGUUUCUUUGGUCAGCCCGGCUGGCCAGAAGCAUUUUCAAACUCAUUAUCAAAACGUGUCAUACUGAAUCAUAAAACAAAAUUAAAGCA
rnacentral:misc_RNA from 1 species